rnacentral:lncRNA from 1 species
ACUGCCGAUUCCUCUACCGUUGCCAGCCCGGCUGCGACGCUGCUGCACGGCCUUUCCUAACUCUCUUUGCGACUCCCAGAGGACUGCGGAAUAGGGAAUCCCCGGCAAGUCGCCUUCAGGAGAGACCCAUCACCCGCUGCGGCCUCCAUAACCUCCUCCCGAGAGAUUCCGCUCUUCCUAGGUUCCUUGCUGGCCUUUUCUUCCCAGCCCUUCUCCCUGUUCUGCGACAUGGACUGACUCCUAAAUUCUUGGACGCAGCACUUAUUUUUUUCCCGAUACCCGUCUCCGUCUUUCACUCCCUUUGUGAGGAUAGGGCGCUAGCUCGGCUGCCUCACAGCUGGCCCUUCAGUCCCUACACUGUGAAUGGUUGUUUCUAGGGAAAAGUCCAGGCUUUCAAGCCCAAGAUUCUUGUUCUUUGUUCAAUUUUGCAGUAACAACACCUAACAUUUGUCUGCAGAGCCUUAAACUUUACCCCUUUUUGCCUACCUUGUUUCCUGUUACCUUUGACCCCAACCGCGAAAAAUCACAGUCCUCUUUCUAGUGGGACACUUAAAUUUUACUUACUGAAAACCAACAUUUUAACUCACUCCAAAGCUAGUAUAUUCUAACGUAAUGCUCCUAUAUUACCCUGGACAAAUAGUUGAGUAGUCAGGGAUAAAAUCUAGAAGUACAACAUAAUAAAAAGCAAACGUGACAAAUCAAUUAAGUGACAAACCAAUAGUUUAUUUGAGAAAUGAUCCUAGUUUUUUUAUUUUUUAUUUAUUUACUUAUUUUGAAUGAGAGUUUCGCUACUGUUGCCCAGGCUGGAGUGCAAUGGCGCGAUCUUGGCUCACCGCAACUCUGCGUCCCCCGGUCAAGCGAUUCUCCUGCCUCAGCCUUCCUGAGGAUUACAGGCAUGCGCCACCACGCCUGGCUAAUUUUGUAUUUUUAGUAGAGACGGGGUUUCUCCACGUUGGUCAGGCUGGUCUCGAACUCCCGACCUCAGGUGAUCAGCCCGCCUCGGCCUCCCAAAGGGCUGGGAUUACAGACAUGAGCCACCGUGCCCGGCCAAUGAUCCUGGUUUUAAUUGACUUUCGAUUUAAAGCAAGAACAUUGAAAAAUAAAUUCCAGAAGAGGCUGUAAUACCAACACUUUGGGAGGCCGAGGUGGGCAGAUCACUUGAGCCCAGGAGUUCACACCUAGCCUGGGCAAUAUGGCGAGACUGACAAAAAUGACGUGAGUGUGGUGAUGUGCAUCUGUUGUCCCAGCUACUUGGGAGACUGAGGUGGGAGGAUAAUAUGAACCCAGGAAGUCGAGGGAAGUCGAGGCUGGUGUGAGUCGAGAUAGCACGGUAGCACCACUGCACUCCAGCCCGGGAAAUAGAGCAAGACCCUGUCUAGGAAAAAAAAAAAAAAUCCAGAAGAAUUAAAAAAUAUAAAAAUUUACAAAACAGAAACUUAAGAGGAAAAAAAAAUUUUUUUUUGAGACAGUCUCAUUCUGUUGCCCAGGCUGGAGUGCAGUGGCACCAUCUCAGCUCAUGGCAACCUCCACCUCCCAGGUUCAAGCAGUUCUCUUGCCUCAACCUCCAGAGUAGCUGGGAUUACAGGCACCCGCCACCACACACGCCUAAUUUUUUUUUUCUUUUUUUGAGACGGAGUCUUGCUCUGUCGUCAGGCUGUAGUACAGUGGCACAAUCUCGGCUCACUGCAACCUCCGCCUCCUGAAUUCAAGGGAUUCCCCUGCCUCAGCCUCCCAAGUAGCUGGGACUGCAGGCGCGCACC